AUACGUAGGUGACAAGCGUUAUCCGGAUUUACUGGGUGUAAAGGGCGCGUAGGCGGGCGUGCAAGUUAGAUGUGAAACCAUGGGGCUCAACUCCGGACUGGCUCUUAAACCUGACCAUCUUGAGGGCCAGAGGGGAAAGUGGAAUUCCGGGGGGAGCGGUACAAUGCGUAGAGAUCAGGAGGAAAACCGGUGGCGAAGGCGGCUUGCUGGGCUUUUACUGACGCUGAGGCUCGAAAGCGUGGGUAGCAAACAGGAUUAGAUACCCUGGUAGUCCACGCUGUAAACGAUGAUUACUAGGUGUGGGGGGACUGACCCCUUCCGUGCCGCAGUUAACACAAUAAGUAAUCCACCUGGGGAGUACGGCCGCAAGGUUGAAACUCAAAUGAAUUGACGGGG
rnacentral:rRNA from 1 species